AUUUUUUACAAUGAGCGCAAGCCUGAUCCAGCCAUGCCGCGUGAGUGAAGAAGGUCUUCUGGAUGUACAGCUCUUUCGGUCGGAAAGAAAUCGCGCAGGCUAAUACCCUGCGCGGUUGAAGGCACCGUCCUAAGAAGCACCGGCUAACUACUUGCCACCAGCCGCGGUAAUACGUAGGGUGCGAGAGUUAACCGGAAUUACUGGGCGUAAAGCGUGCGCAGGCGGUUGAUUAAGACAGGCGUUCAAUCCCCGGGCUUAAACUGGGAACUGCGCUUGUGACUGGUCAGCUCGAGUACGGCAGAGGGGGGUGGAAUUCCACGUGUAGCAGUGAAAUGCGUAGAGAUGUGGAGGAACACCGAUGGCGAAGGCAGCCCCCUGGGCCGAUACUGACGCUCAUGCACGAAAGCGUGGGUAGCAAACAGG
rnacentral:rRNA from 1 species